AUUUGUUGUAAAUGGUACCAUCUGUGUUUUUCGACACUUGUUCUAUUAUUUGUUAUGCUCUUGUAAAUGUUAAUCGAGUUUUGCAGUAAAUUUUUGUAUUUCGCUCACGUUUUCCUUUCUUUAAAACUAGUUUUAAAACUUCCGCAACUAAGUUUUCGAACAAUUUUCUUAGUCUCAAAACCAUUGGAUGUAUAUCGUUACAGUCAGGGCCGGCUCAACAUACCAUCGAGCGGAGCUCAGGAUGAUGGCGCAUUUUGUGUUUUAUUAUUAAUAUUGUAGUAAGACCAACGAAGACACGAUUAUUUCUUACACAUAAUUUAAACAGUGGCCAUCAAAAAUGAUAAGUUGGAGCCGCUAAAGACUCUAGAGCCGGUAUUACAUUUACAAUAUAACAUUUUACAUUGAAGUCUGAUCUGCAGUGUUAUGUUUACGCACCAUUAGCAUAUCUAAAAGUUAUAUUCAUUCUUUACAUGAAAG
rnacentral:lncRNA from 1 species